rnacentral:rRNA from 1 species
GUACCUACGGGACGCAGCAGUAGGGAAUCUUCCACAAUGGACGAAAGUCUGAUGGAGCAACGCCGCGUGAGUGAAGAAGGGUUUCGGCUCGUAAAGCUCUGUUGGUAGUGAAGAAAGAUAGAGGUAGUAACUGGCCUUUAUUUGACGGUAAUUACUUAGAAAGUCACGGCUAACUACGUGCCAGCAGCCGCGGUAAUAAGGAGGUGGCAAGCGUUGUCCGGAUUUAUUGGGCGUAAAGCGAGUGCAGGCGGGUCAAUAAGUAUG